rnacentral:rRNA from 1 species
CCUACGGGAGACUGCAGUGGGGAAUAUUGCACAAUGGGGGAAACCCUGAUGCAGCGACGCCGCGUGAGUGAAGAAGUACUUCGUUAUGUAAAGCUCUGUCAGCAGGGAAGAAAAUGACGGUACCUGAGUAAGAAGCCCCGGCUAACUACGUGCCAGCAGCCGCGGUAAUACGUAGGGGGCAAGCGUUAGCCGGAUUUACUGGGGGGAAAGGGAGCGUGGACGGCAGUGCAAGACUGGAGUGAAAGGCGGGGGCUCAACCCCCGGACUGCUCUGGAAACUGUACGGCUGGAGUGCAGGAGAGGUAAGUGGAAUUCCUAGUGUAGCGGUGAAAUGCGUAGAUAUCAGGAGGAACACCAGUGGCGAAGGCGGCUUACUGGAACGUAACUGACGUUGAGGCUCGAAAGCGUGGGGAGCAAACAGGAUUAGAUACCCCAGUAGUC